AUGUGUUUGAGCCUUCGGGCUCUUCAUCCCGACGCUGUGCGCCUUCGGGCUGCACGCUGAAGGAGCAUAUAUCCACCCCUGUGCACACACACGGUGGCGAGCUGGGUAACGGCUCGCCGCUGAUCUUUACACACGUCUAAAAGUCAUUGUAUGUUUAUUUGAGACAAAAAACA
rnacentral:misc_RNA from 1 species